CGUGCCAGCAGCCGCGGUAAGACGAAGGUGGCAAGCGUUGUUCGGUAUUACUGGGCUUAAAGCGUGUGUAGGCGGAAACUUAAGCGUUUUGUGAAAUCCCUCGGCUUAACCGAGGAAUUGCUUGACGAACUGGGUUUCUUGAGGCAAGUAGGGGUGCGCAGAACUCUUGGUGGAGCGGUGGAAUGCGUAGAUAUCAAGAGGAAUGCCGGUGGAGAAGUCGGCGCACUGGGCUUGUCCUGACGCUGAGACACGAAAGCGUGGGGAGCGAACGGGAUUAGAUACCCCGGUAGUCCACGCUGUAAACGAUGCCUACUAGGUUGUGGUGGUUCUGACGCCAGCACAGCCGAAGCCAAAGUGUUAAGUAGGCCGCCUGGGGAGUACGGUCGCAAGGCUAAAACUCAAAGGAAUUGACGGGGGCUCACACAAGCGGUGGAGCAUGUGGAUUAAUUCGAAGCAACGCGCAGAACCUUACCUGGGUUUGACAUGCAUGGAUGCCCAUCUGGAAACAGAGUAGGCUGCCUUCGGGUGAAACUUGCACAGGUGCUGCAUGGCUGUCGUCAGCUCGUGUCGUGAGAUGUCGGGUUAAGUCCUUUAACGAGCGAAACCCUUGCCGUUAGUUGCCAGCGGGUCAUACCGGGGACUCUAACGGGACUGCCGGUGUUAAACCGGAGGAAGGUGGGGAUGACGUCAAGUCAUCAUGGCCUUUAUGCCCAGGGCCUCACACGUGCUACAAUGGUCGGGACAGAGCGACGCAAGACCGCGAGGUGGAGCAAAUCGCAAAAACCCGGCCUCAGUUCGGAUUGCAGGCUGGCAACUCGCCUGCAUGAAGGUGGAAUCGCUAGUA
rnacentral:rRNA from 1 species